GCCCAGCAGACCAGGAAAAAUGCUUUGCCCUGCCCUGCCGUGGAAGGCGUUGUUCACUCUUGGCCUCCGUGCCGACCUUUGGCCAUUGUCCUUUCAGUUUCCUACUGGAACUUAACCUGGACAUGGCCUAACCUCAGUAACAUGGAUGAAUGAGUUUUAUAAAAACAUUAAGAUCUCCUGAAAUUCUGGAACGGAUGGAAGUAUUUUUCAUGAAGACAGGAAAUACCUUCUCAACAGCUUUGAAAACCAGACAAAACGACCCCAAAAGAGCAGGCCCCUCGGGUGCAGAGAGCUGUGUGGGCUGAAUCUUCAACUGCAGGAUUAACCGUGGGGAUCUGUGGCCACACCCGGUGAUUUUACACACGGAAAAAAAUCAAAUUGGUGAAGUAAGAUCUGUGUCACCUUCUUUAAAAUGUACUGUCACUUCUCUGAUGCAGUUGUGCAAGAUUCAGCAAGGAGAUGCAGGUAGUCCUCCCCUGGCAGGAUGCCAGCGUGCACCAGCUUCAGCCGCAUCUGUCCACAGUUAGGCAGAACGGCUCGGUUCUGUCUGUCUCCAGUCACCUUAUCCGGGAAGUCUGAAUACUUGCAUGAAGCAUGCGUUUGGAUGUUAGCUCUUUAGGACACAAGUCGUUUUGUAAAUGUCUGCACCACUCAACCAGCUAGUGACUGAUGAGACCAGUUCUUUCCAAACCUCUCAGCAGUGGGUCACCGUGCCUCUGUCUUUCAGGCCACACAUGGGCAGCAAAGCAUACCUUGUCUUCCAGGGAGCACUCACGGGACCUUUUACAAGUAGAUAAUCGGUGGAGGGAAGCAGCCAUCCAAACACGGAAGUGACGCAAAGGCACCAGAGAUGAGAACCCAGGAAAUGAAAUUCAAGUUGAACACCGGUGAAGUCAAGAUAGCGUUCUAAACGCUACCUCAGCAACCAAAAGGAGAUGAAUAAGGGAGAAGUUACGGACAUAAAUAAGGGAGAGAUGAAGGGAGAGUGCUGUCCUAGAGGAAGUGACACCAGAAAAAAA